rnacentral:lncRNA from 1 species
CCUGGCCUCCCCCAGCCCUUGUGGGUCUCUCCAUGAUGCCUCUUGUUUCUGGGUGUCCAGAAAGCCGGUGUCGGAGCCCCGCCUCGCCGCCCCGCACACCUGCCUGGGUCCGGCCUCGCCGCCCCGCACACCUGCCUGGUCCACACGGGCCCUGCAGACUUCACAGAGCGGAGGCGUGCAAACCUUGCAGACCUGUGGGCGGUGUGGGAGGGCGCCUCUAACCACGGAUCCUCGCGGGACUCCAGGCCUGCCCUCUCCCCGGGGCCUCGCCCUGUUUGUGGCUUUAGAAACCAUCCGUUACCUGUCAUCUCCAAGUGGUACCUGCUGCUGCCUGGACCUCUCCAUGAACUGCAGCCUCCUAAAUCCACCCGCCACGUGCCUUUCCGUCUGGACCUCUCAGAGACACCCAGGUCCAGCAUCUGCAAAACCAAACCCCUCCUUUCCCCAGCCUCAGAGUCCACUCCAAGCCCCCCAUCCCAUUAGCGACCACUUUGUCCCCACAAGUGAUCACACCAGGGCGUCGGGUUCAGCCUUGGCGGCUCUUUCCACCCAUGGUGGCUGCUGCAGCAAAUUCCGUCAGCUCUGCCUUUGAUGCACAGCCUGACCUGACUUCUCAGACCCCCACUGCCCCCCAGGUCCAGGCCGCCCUGGGCUCGAGCUGGAGUCCCUGCAGCUGCUUCCUCAUCGGUCCUGGCCGCCGCCCUCGCCCCUGCGGCCUCUUCCACUCAGCAGCCAGCGUGAACCCAGGAAAGCACACGGUGUCCCCCACCCCUGCCCAGGGCUGCUGGGGAAGUGGCUGAGUCUGGGCUGACCACCUCUCCGACCUGAGGACUUGCUCAGACAGUGACGGGGGCAUUUCAAGGACACAGGGGACAGGCCUGGCACCAUUCAAAAGGGCAGAGAAACAGUAAAAAU